ACUCGACUAAAAGUUAACUCAAUUUUUGUGUGGAGUUGGAACGUUUGCCUACGUUUGCCGCUAGGGGCGCUGUUCCAACUCCACACAAAUUUUAGUUAACGUUAACGCUAUCGA
rnacentral:pre_miRNA from 9 species